AUGUGUGCAAAAAAGCGCCCUGUAAAACCCAUAAGCUUUCGUGUUAGCACUGCCGCCGAGGGGUGUCAUGCCAGGAUCGACCCAACACAGGACUCCCGGAAAGUGCCCAUCACCUUCCGGGUCUUCACCUCCCCGGCACUUGCAGCCCCUGCGCAGCUGCAGUGGUGGAUUCCUUCAGCACGUGUCCUGCCGGGCACCCCUAGCCACCCUCACAACUGGCACGAUAGGGCUUCUUGCCCGUGGGGCUUUAAGUCAUUCUGAGGCUGGUUCCCUAAGUGUCAGCCUCACCGGGUACCACCUCAGUGUAUUUGGGUAGGCCGUGAUGCCAGUGCUGACUCUGUUUACUGGGAGCUGUUAAUCUGGAGAUUUGGACCAGAGAAAGGGUAUUUGAACAAGAGUCCACGAUCUUCAUCCCUACCCGGCCCCAGCAGCCUUGGAUCCAGGGGUGGGUGACUCAUCAGAAGUUGCACUUUUUGCCGGGGAUGGUGAAGCGUGCCUGUAAUCCUACCACUUUGGGAGGCUGAGGCCAAGAAGACGCUGGAGGGAGGCUGUUAGGAGGGAUGCUGAGCUUCACACCUGUCUGCUGCCGUGGGUGCAGAGCCCUAGUCCUGAUGGCCCCUGGUGGCACACAUUGAAUGCCUAGGGCAGAAAGGAAGUGGGAAUGGCGAAGAUGUGACGUUCCUCGGUGUUAGAUCCUGUUUCUUCUUA
rnacentral:sRNA from 1 species